rnacentral:rRNA from 1 species
UACGUAGGGUGCAAGCGUUGUCCGGAUUUAUUGGGCGUAAAGAGCCCGCAGGCGGCUUGGCAAGUUUGAGGUGAAAUCUCCCGGCUUAACUGGGAGGGGGCCUCGAAAACUGCCAGGCUUGAGGCAUGGAGAGGGAUGCGGAAUUCCCGGUGUAGUGGUGAAAUGCGUAGAUAUCGGGAGGAACACCAGUGGCGAAGGCGGCAUCCUGGCCAUGUCCUGACGCUCAGGGGCGAAAGCGUGGGGAGCAAACCGG